CUCCCCCGGUCCAAAGACAUGCAUGGUAGGUUGAUUGGCAUCUCUGGAAAAUUGUCCGUAGAUGGGCACAGGCUCCCUGUGACCCGAGAAGUUCGGAUAAGCGGUAGAGAAUGAAUGAAUGAUUAUCUACAAAGAGACAUACUGAUGAAUACAGGAUUGUGGAUUGGCACGAAUGCCAUACACGUCUUCUGGAUUCUGAUUGGUUAAAAUCGUAUGUAAAUAAUAAAAUAAUGAUCCAAUCUGGAAUGAUUGACAGUUGUGUACUUCCCUUCAAGCUCUGCCUCCUUUUCACCAUUAUCACAUUCGUAGUUUUCCAGCCAGUGGUUUUGUCUCAUCUUCGGCUGAAUCAGGAAGAACUCAGAUGGAGUGGGCAAGCCGGUAAUUUCCCUGCAUCUCUUCUUUCUGCGCUGCAAUUAUCGUGUCUUGAUCCUCAGGGUCGGUGUCAGCUUUCCAUCACUGAAAAGUCGUCGCAUUUCUAUUCGUGUCUCGUGGCCUGAAAAAUGUGCAGCGUGUCACUGUGGUUCAGUGCACUACAGCGCUUAGAGCUGGUAAUACAUGAAACACAAGCAGUGUGCCAGCUGCAGCCAGGCCAAGGGAUUUAUAGGGCAAAAGGUGGAAUAACCUCCAUCUCAGAAAAAAAAGCUGCCCUGGCUGAAACAUAUGAUUACAAGAAAAAAAAAAUUGAGAGUUCUCUCUGUGUCUGAACUCGUCUAUCGUUCUUAAGCACUUUAUUCUGGUGGAUCCGGAGCUUUUAUGACAUGUUGUGGGUGUAGCUUUAAUAAAUAAAUCAGAAAUGCCA